UAACACAUGCAAGUCGAACGAUUCCUUCGGGGAUAGUGGCGGACGGGUGAGUAAUACAUAGAUAACCUGCCUGAAAGAGGGGGAUAACCAGCCGAAAGGCUAGCUAAUACCGCAUAAUGUUGCUGGUUGGAAUACUGGUAAAGAAAGGAGCAAUCCGUUUUCAGAGGGGUCUAUGGUCGAUUAGCUAGUUGGAGAGGUAAAGGCUCACCAAGGCGACGAUCGAUAGCUGGUCUGAGAGGACGAUCAGCCACACUGGGACUGAGACACGGCCCAGACUCCUACGGGAGGCAGCAGUGGGGAAUUUUCCGCAAUGGGCGAAAGCCUGACGGAGCGACGCCGCGUGUAGGAAGAAGUCUUUCGGGAUGUAAACUACUUUCAGCAGGGACGAAAAAAAUGACGGUACCUGCAGAAGAAGCAUCGGCUAACUACGUGCCAGCAGCCGCGGUAAUACGUAGGAUGCAAGCGUUGUUCGGAAUUACUGGGCGUAAAGAGUGCGUAGGCGGUAAUGUAAGUCUGAUAUUAAAAACCGGAGCUCAACUCCGGGGCUGUAUUGGAAACUGUAUUACUAGAGGACAAUAGAGGAAGUCGGAAUUCUCAGUCUAGCGGUGAAAUGCGUAGAUAUUGGGAAGAACACCGGUGGCGAAAGCGGACUUCUGGGUUGUUACUGACGCUGAGGUACGAAAGCGUGGGGAGCAAACGGGAUUAGAUACCCCGGUAGUCCACGCGGUAAACGAUGGAUACUAGGUGUAGCAGGUAUCGACCCCUGCUGUGCCGCAGCAAACGCAAUAAGUAUCCCGCCUGGGGAGUAUGGCCGCAAAGUUGAAACUC
rnacentral:rRNA from 1 species